rnacentral:rRNA from 1 species
UACGGGGGGGGCAAGCGUUGUUCGGAAUUACUGGGCGUAAAGGGCUCGUAGGUGGCCAACUAAGUCAGACGUGAAAUCCCUCGGCUUAACCGGGGAACUGCGUCUGAUACUGGAUGGCUUGAGUUUGGGAGAGGGAUGCGGAAUUCCAGGUGUAGCGGUGAAAUGCGUAGAUAUCUGGAGGAACACCGGUGGCGAAGGCGGCAUCCUGGACCGGCAUUGACGCUGAGGCGCGAAAGCUAGGGGAGCAAACAGG